CCUACGGGUGGCAGCAGUGAGGAAUAUUGGUCAAUGGGCGAGAGCCUGAACCAGCCAAGUCGCGUGAAGGAUGAAGGAUCUAUGGUUUGUAAACUUCUUUUAUAUGGGAAUAAAGUGAGGAACGUGUUCCUUUUUGUAUGUACCAUAUGAAUAAGCAUCGGCUAACUCCGUUCCAGCAGCGCCGGUAAUACGGAGGAUGCGAGCGUUAUCCGGAUUUAUUGGGGUUAAAGGGUGCGUAGGUGGUGACUUAAGUCAGCGGUGAAAGUUUGUGGCGCAACCAUAAAAUUGGCGUUGAAACUGGGUAACUUGAGUAUAUUUGAGGUGGGCGGAAUUCGUGGUGUAGCGGUGAAAUGCUUAGAUAUCACGAAGAACUCCGAUUGCGAAGGCAGUUCACUGGACUGCAACUGACACUGAGGCUCGAAAGUGUGGGUAUCAAACAGGAUUAGAUACCCUUGUAGUC
rnacentral:rRNA from 1 species